rnacentral:rRNA from 1 species
GUGGGGAAUAUUGGUCAAUGGGCGAGAGCCUGAACCAGCCAAGUCGCGUGAAGGAAGAAGGAUCUAUGGUUCGUAAACUUCUUUUGCAGGGGAAUAAAGUGCGGGACGUGUCCUGUUUUGUAUGUACCCUGAGAAUAAGGAUCGGCUAACUCCGUGCCAGCAGCCGCGGUAAUACGGAGGAUCCGAGCGUUAUCCGGAUUUAUUGGGUUUAAAGGGUGCGUAGGUGGUUUGAUAAGUCAGCGGUGAAAGUUUGCAGCUUAACUGUAAAAAUGCCGUUGAAACUGUCGGACUUGAGUGUAAAUGAGGUAGGCGGAAUGCGUGGGGUAGCGGUGAAAUGCAUAGAUAUCACGCAGAACUCCGAUUGCGAAGGCAGCUUACUAAGCUACAACUGACACUGAAGCACGAAAGCGUGGGGAUCAAACAGGAUUAGAAACCCCGGUAGUCC